rnacentral:rRNA from 1 species
UACGUAGGGUGCGAGCGUUGUCCGGAAUCAUUGGGCGUAAAGAGCUCGUAGGCGGCUCAGUAAGUCGGCUGUGAAAGCCCGGGGCUCAACCCCGGAACUGCAGUCGAUACUGCUGUGGCUAGAGUCCGGUAGAGGAGAGUGGAAUUCCCGGUGUAGCGGUGGAAUGCGCAGAUAUCGGGAGGAACACCAGUAGCGAAGGCGGCUCUCUGGGCCGGUACUGACGCUGAGGAGCGAAAGCGUGGGGAGCAAACAGG